rnacentral:lncRNA from 1 species
AGAAUCAGAAAGGAGUAAUCGGGGUGUUGCAAGUCCUGAUUACGCAGAGACAUUAACCACAUUUCAUGCAUCUCCAAUCAGCCUAUUCUUCCUGCCCUCCAAAAGGAGAAACAGUUUUCCCAGGUGGCCAAGCUAAGUGGUCCCUUACCAUCUGGACUUUUCUUGAAGCAGAACAUCAGGAUGGUGUUGAGAGAGAGCCCUGUCUGCUGUCAUGGUGCAGGUCACCGCUAAAAGUAUUAUGAUGGGUGUGUACACAGGUGCAACGCCUUUGAGAAUCAGGCCCUCCCCCUGCACUCACACACAAUUGAAAGGAAAGGGAACCAGGUCCGGAGGCAUGUGAGCUGUGGUCACUCUUACCCUGCAUGAGAGGGUAGCCAGGCCUCAGGAGGAUGAGUGAGUAUGGAGAAGAGGGAGGCUGAGACCCCAGUAGGGCAUCCCCAACCUCAGCAAAGUUUCCUGGGCUCCAUAUGUGACCUCAAAGCAAAAAGGUACCCUACCUGGAAAUACUACAGGCCUGGACAAUGAGGAAGACAGAGGCAGCUGUGAUGAAAUGCAGAGUAGGGAUGUUCCUCUGAUUCUCAGGGCUCUAUAGCAGCAUCUUGGACACCCCGGCAGGAAGAAGAACCUAACAGUGUCCAACAUGGAUUAUGUAGGAAGGACAAGGUCCUGGGGUCAGAUUUAAGUUGGUUUAAGGAAAACAAAUGUAGCAAGAGUGAGAUUCAUACCAAUUAUAUUUAUUUGAUUGUACAGCUCCCUCUUUCCUACCUCACCCCCCUUAAAGUAGAUUAUGUAUAAGCUAUGUUAAAAGUAGAUAUGUAUAAGCUAUUUUACACACACACACACACACACACACACACACACACACACACUUAUUUUUAGAACAGUUUUGGGAUCACAUCAAAAUUGAGCAGAAAGUAGAGAGAUUUCUUAUAUGUCCCCUGCGCCACAUGUGCACAGCCUCCCCAGCUAUUGACAUCCUGCCCCAGAGUGGUACAUUUGUUACAAUCCAUAAACCUACACUGCUACUUCCCCACUGUAUAGUUAACAUUUAGGGACUUUUCCAUUUAUAGUUUACACUGGGGACUGCUCUUGCUGUGGUACAUUCUAUGUGUUUGGGCGAAUGCACAAUUACAUGUAUCCCUCAUUGCAGUAUCAUACAAAAUAGUUUCACUGCCCUAAAAAAUCCUCUAUGUUCUGCCUAUUUAAUCCCUCCUUCCCUCAACCCCUGGCAACUACUUAUCUUUUUUAUAGUCUCCAUAGUUUUGCCUUUUCCAGAAUUCCAAGAGUUGGAAUCAUACUGUAUAUAGCCUUUUCAGCCUGGCUACUUUCACCUAGUAAUAUGCAUUUAAGUUUCCUCCAUGUUGUUUCAUGGCUUGAUAGCUCGUUUCUUUUUAGUAGUGAAUAAUACUCUAUUGCCUGGGGGUAUCACAGUUUAUUUAUCCAUUCCCUACUGAGAGACAUUUUGGUUGCUUCCCAGUUUUGGCAAUUAUGAUUAAAGCCAUUAUAAACAUUCGUGUGCAAGUUUUCGUGUAGACAAUGUUUUCAAUUCAUUUGGGUAAAUACCAAGUAGUGUGAUUGCUGGAUCAUCUAGUAAGAGCAUGUUUCGUUUUGCAAGAAACUGCCAAAUUGCCUUCUGAAGUGGCCAUACAGUUUUUCAUUCUCACCAGCAAUGGAUGAGUGUUCCUUUACUCCACAUCCUUACCAGCAUUUGGUGGUGUCAGUGUUCUGAAUUUUGAUCAUUCUAACGGGUGCGUAGCAGUGUCUCAUUGUUGUUUUAAUUUGCAAUUCCCUCAUGACAUAUGAUGUUGAACUUCUUUUUGUAUGCAUACUAUUUGUAUAUAUUUUUUGGUGUGGUGUUUAUUCAGGUAUUUUCCCAUUUUUUAAUUGGGUUGUUCAUUUUCUUAUUGUUGAGACUUCUUUGUAUAUUUUGGAUGAUAGUCUUUUAUCAGAUGUGUCUUUUGCAAAUAUUUUCUCCCAAACUGUGG